rnacentral:lncRNA from 1 species
UGUCACUUAGUCAUGUGCUAGAAUCAACCAGUUCAUUGUUGCUAUUAUUACUUUGAACAAAGAAUUCAUUGUUGCUCUAAUGACCUUGAACAAAGUUCUCCAUAAGAUUGGGUAGAUUUUACUUUACCUUCCUGUCUUCCUCCUCGGAUGCUCUUCAUCAUGUAGAUCUGAGUUUCCAACCUAUUUCAUUCUUCUUCUCUCUAAGAAUUUAACAUCUCUUGCAAGGCAGGUCUACUGGCCACAAAUUCCUUCAGUUUCUGUUUGUGUGAGAGACACUUUCUUUCUCCUUUUUCGAAUGGUAAUUCUGCUGGAUACAAAAGUCUAGGCUUCUUUCAACUCUACAUAUUUCACUCCACUCUCUUCCUGCUUGCAUGGUUUCCGAUGAGAAGUCUGAUGGAAUUUUCAUCCUUGUUCCUCUCCAGAUAAGUCUGGCCAAGGCCGCCAGCAUCUCUGGCCGAAACGACCCCAACAGCCGGCUUCCUGGUGUCCUGCGUCCACCCUCGCCCGUUUCAGUUAUCCAUUGCUGUGAAAUAAACCACUUCAAAACCAAGUAUUAAAUCUCACAGUUCUGUGGUUUUCCUGGGCUCGGUGAGGUGGUUCCCCUGUUCAUGUGAUGUUGCUGGGGCCAGGGACUCUGUGGGCUCAACUGGGCAGGAUGUCCAGGCGGCUCACUCAGCCUGGCCAGCGGCUCACUCAGCCUGGCCGGCAGCUGUUGCAGGCAGUUGGCUGCAUCCUCAGCUGGGGCUGAGAGCUGCGGGCCUCGGUUCUCCUCCGUGUGGCCUACGUGCUGGCCCGAGAGCCAGUGUUUCAGAGGAAGGAAGUGUCAGCUGGCAGGCCUCUUAAGGCCUGAGCUCGAAGUCCCAGAACAUCCCUACCACUGCCUUCUAAUGGUCAAAGCAGUCACGAGGCCAACCCAGCCUCAAGAGGAGUGGAGGAAUCACUAGGGGCCAUCUUUGGAGACUAGCUCCCAUGAUCCCCUUCAGUCAGUUCUCCAGUUUCCAGCGACAUCUUUUUAACACACAUAGACAUCACUCUCCUGCUGAAGUCCACCAAUGGCAUCCUCUCAUGCUCACUCUACCCGUGAGGCAACGCCCUGCCUUCCCUGGCCCCUGCCCAACUCUUUCCCUCGCAUGGCUGCUCUCCCCACCCUGGCCUCACCGUUUCCCAGCACCCCUCAGAGCCCUCGCACUUGCUGUUCCACUAGCCUGGAACAGUUUCCUCCGGCUGCUUCACUCUCCUCACUGCUGUCGCCCUGGAUACCUGACAUUAUUUGUUCAUGUUUUGGGUUUCCACUAGAAUGUGAGGACCCAGCAGGCAGCGCC